rnacentral:rRNA from 1 species
UUAACAUGCAAGUCGAACGGCAGCACGGAGCUUGCUCUGGUGGCGAGUGGCGAACGGGUGAGUAAUAUAUCGGAACGUACCCUAGAGUGGGGGAUAACGUAGCGAAAGUUACGCUAAUACCGCAUACGAUCUAAGGAUGAAAGUGGGGGAUCGCAAGACCUCAUGCUCGUGGAGCGGCCGAUAUCUGAUUAGCUAGUUGGUAGGGUAAAAGCCUACCAAGGCAUCGAUCAGUAGCUGGUCUGAGAGGACGACCAGCCACACUGGAACUGAGACACGGUCCAGACUCCUACGGGAGGCAGCAGUGGGGAAUUUUGGACAAUGGGCGAAAGCCUGAUCCAGCAAUGCCGCGUGAGUGAAGAAGGCCUUCGGGUUGUAAAGCUCUUUUGUCAGGGAAGAAACGGUGAGAGCUAAUAUCUCUUGCUAAUGACGGUACCUGAAGAAUAAGCACCGGCUAACUACGUGCCAGCAGCCGCGGUAAUACGUAGGGUGCAAGCGUUAAUCGGAAUUACUGGGCGUAAAGCGUGCGCAGGCGGUUUUGUAAGUCUGAUGUGAAAUCCCCGGGCUCAACCUGGGAAUUGCAUUGGAGACUGCAAGGCUAGAAUCUGGCAGAGGGGGGUAGAAUUCCACGUGUAGCAGUGAAAUGCGUAGAUAUGUGGAGGAACACCGAUGGCGAAGGCAGCCCCCUGGGUCAAGAUUGACGCUCAUGCACGAAAGCGUGGGGAGCAAACAGGAUUAGAUACCCUGGUAGUCCACGCCCUAAACGAUGUCUACUAGUUGUCGGGUCUUAAUUGACUUGGUAACGCAGCUAACGCGUGAAGUAGACCGCCUGGGGAGUACGGUCGCAAGAUUAAAACUCAAAGGAAUUGACGGGGACCCGCACAAGCGGUGGAUGAUGUGGAUUAAUUCGAUGCAACGCGAAAAACCUUACCUACCCUUGACAUGGCUGGAAUCCUUGAGAGAUUGGGGAGUGCUCGAAAGAGAACCAGUACACAGGUGCUGCAUGGCUGUCGUCAGCUCGUGUCCUGAAAAUUUUGGGUUAAGUCCCGCAACGAGCGCAACCCUUGUCAUUUAGUUGCUACCAAAAGGGCACUUUUAAUGGAAACUGCCCGGGGACAAACCCGGGGGAA